rnacentral:lncRNA from 1 species
CACAGGGUGCCCGGGGCCCCUUCCUGCAGCCUGAACUCUGCUUGGGGGGUGUGUGCGUGCUGGGGGGACUGGGACUGCUGGGAUCCCACUGCAAUCCCCCCAGGGGAGGGGUUAGAGCCCACCUCGGGCUGAGUGCUUUGGACACAGCAGAGGGGACGCAGGGUGCCCCGGCAGGACGGUGAGGUUCUCUCCGACCCGCUGCAACGCCCGCAGCGUUUCCCCUGCAGAGGCAGGGAGCCUGGCUGAGCCUUUUUCCCCUUCUUGCCGCAGAUCCCAAAGGCACAGCAUGGCCCACCACCUCGACCACUCCACCCGGCUCCACCUCGGGCUCCACGCAGACACCUCCCCAGCAGGAAGAGACGCAGGAGACAGCCAGCCCCUCUGCCGCCCCUGACCGCGGGAGCCAGCACUCCUCCCUCCCCGCUGCGCACGGGAAGCAGUCGCAGCACCGCGGGCUGCUCGGCGCCCCACAGCUGCAUCUGCAGCUUAAACAAUUCGCAGGUCCUGGCCAUACAAGAAGUGGUUUUCGCCUGCAGCACUGGCCCCGUUUCCUUCCCCAGCUCCGCGGGGCUGUUUGCCCGUGGGAAGCCGAGCGUGAGCUGGGCCCUGUUCUGCUUUGUAGCCGCAGUCCCACGGGGCUGCCUGACAGAGCCUGAGGU